CAUAUGCUUGUCUCAAAGAUUAAGCCAUGCAUGUCUAAGUUCACACUGUCUCACGGUGAAACCGCGAAUGGCUCAUUAAAUCAGUCGAGGUUCCUUAGAUGACACGAUCCUACUUGGAUAACUGUGGCAAUUCUAGAGCUAAUACAUGCCUAUGAAGCUCCGACCCUCGUGGAAAGAGCGCUUUUAUUAGUUCAAAACCAAUCGCCGUUCGUCUUCGGGCGGGCGGUGUCCCCUUUGGUGACUCUGGAUAACUUUGUGCUGAUCGCAUGGCCUUCGUGCCGGCGACGCAUCUUUCAAAUGUCUGCCCUAUCAAAUGUCGAUGGUACGUGAUAUGCCUACCAUGUUUGUAACGGGUAACGGGGAAUCAGGGUUCGAUUCCGGAGAGGGAGCAUGAGAAACGGCUACCACAUCCAAGGAAGGCAGCAGGCGCGCAACUUACCCACUCCCGGCACGGGGAGGUAGUGACGAAAAAUAACAAUACGGGACUCUCUACGAGGCUCCGUAAUUGGAAUGAGUACACUUUAAACCCUUUAACGAGGAUCUAUUGGAGGGCAAGUCUGGUGCCAGUAGCCGCGGUAAUUCCAGCUCCAAUAGCGUAUAUUAAAGUUGUUGCAGUUAAAAAGCUCGUAGUUGGAUCUCAGGUGCAGGCGGACGGUCCGGCUCGCGCCGGUUCACUGUCCGUAUUUCCUGCCCUACUGGUCUGCCGGCUCUCUCCCGUGGGUGCUCUUCGCUGAGCGUCCCGGGUGGCCGGCGCGUUUACUUUGAAAAAAUUAGAGUGUUCAAAGCAGGCCUCGGCUGCCUGAAUAAUGGUGCAUGGAAUAAUGGAAUAGGACCUCGGUUCUAUUUUGUUGGUUUUCGGAACUGGAGGUAAUGAUUAAAAGGGACAAACGGGGGCAUUCGUAUUGCGGCGUUAGAGGUGAAAUUCUUGGAUCGCCGCAAGACGAGCUACUGCGAAAGCAUUUGUCAAGAAUGUUUUCAUUAAUCAAGAACGAAAGUCA
rnacentral:rRNA from 1 species